AGCCUAGUUAGUCCAUGAUUGGACAAUAUUUGUCAAAUACAAACGAAAAAGCUACAGUGUCAAUUUUGCAAAAUAUUUUAGAACUAAACGAGGCCCCAAACACUUUUCCAGCUUCAGGUGCCCCCUAUUCCUUCAGAGUUUCAGACUUCAUUCGAAAUGAUCUCUGCCCUUCGUCUUCCAGUGUAUCAGUCACUGUAGCAGAAACUAACACAAAGCUGUAUUUGCUGAAUCUAUAGCCUUCUCAGUUCUCUCACCUUUACUCUAUGCAUUUUGAGAAGACACUGAAGUUGUAAAAUGAUGGCAAGAUCAAAUGAUGGCACAAGUGUGCAUAUGUCCAGAAAUGCCAACCAUCACUGUACUGGCAAUAUUUUGACUGUGCCUCGCGUCACCAGCUUUCGUCACGGUGGCAGAUUUACAGAGCAAACGCCUAUG
rnacentral:lncRNA from 1 species